AGAGUUUGAUCCUGGCUCAGGACGAACGCUGGCGGCGUGCUUAACACAUGCAAGUCGAACGGACCGAGUUGAUAGCUUGCUAUUGAUGAUGUUAGUGGCAAACCGGUGAGUAAAGGGUAGGCUACCUGCCCUUCAAAUGGGGACAACACCUCGAAUGGGGUGCUAAUACCGAAUGACGUUUCCUGGUCUCAUGACCAGCAAACCAUAGGCCGGGCAACCGGUCACUGAACGAUGGGCCUGCGUCUGAUUAGCUAGGUGGUGGGGUAACGGCCCACCAAGGCCACAAUCAGUAGCCGGUCUGAGAGGAUGAACAGACACUUUGGGACUGAGACGCGGCCCAAACUCCUACCGGAGGCAUCAGUGAGGAAUCUUCCGCAAUGGGCGCAUGCGUGACGGAGCAACGCCGCGUGAGUGAAGAAGGUUUUCGUAUUGUAAAUCUGUGUUGAGAGGGACGAGAGAUAUAUUCUGGAAAUCGGUUAUAGAGGACUGUUCCUCUAGAGGAUGCCGCGUAUAUAUACGUCCCCGCAGCCGCUGUAAUAUGUAGGUCGCGAGUGUUCUCGGGAUUUAUUGGGUGUAAAGGGAGCGCAGGUGGGAAUGUAUGUCAGUUUUGAAAGUUCGGGGUUCAACCCGGUGAUGGUAUUGAAAUUAUUUUUUUGGAGUCCAGGAGAGGAAAGCGGAAUUCAUAGUGUAGCGGUGAAAUGGGUAGAGUUUAGGAGGACCACCAGUGGGGAAGGCGGCUUUCUGGACUGUAACUGACGCUGAGGCUCGAGAGUAGGGGACCGAACAGGAUUAGAUACUGUGGUAGUCCUCGCCGAAGACGAUGAAUAGUAGGUGUAGGGGUUGUCAUGACCUCUGUGGCGCCGCUCACACACAAUGUAUUCUGCGUGGGGAGUACGGUCGCAAGAUUUAAACUCAAAGGAAUUGGCGGGGGCACAGCACAAGCAGCGGAGCAUGUGGUUUAAUUCGAAGCGACGCGAAGAACCUUACCUAGACUUGACAUCUCCUGCAUUAAUAUUAAUCGAGGAAGUCUCUUCGGGGACAGACAGACAGGUGGUGCAUGGUUGUAGUCAGCUCGUGUCGUGAGAUGUUGGGUUAAGUCCCCGCAACGCGCGCAACCCCUAUUGUUUAGUGCUACGCAAGAGCACUCUAGCGAGACUGCCGGUGACAAAACGGAGGAAGGUGGGGACGACGUCAAAUCAUCAUGCCCCUUAUGUCCUGGGCUACACACGUAAUACAAUGGCCGUCACCAGAGGGAGGCAACACCGCAAGGCGGAGGGAACUCCUAAAAGCCGUCUCAGUUCAGAUUGCGGGCUGCAACCCGCCCACACGAAGUCGGAAUCGCUAGUAAUCGCGGAUCAGCACGCCGCGGUGAAUACGUUCCCGGGCCUUGCACACACCGCC
rnacentral:rRNA from 1 species